rnacentral:piRNA from 1 species
UGCACUGGGUAAAGCCAUGCAGUGCCCCC